rnacentral:tRNA from 1 species
GGCCCCAUCGUCUAGAGGCCUAGGACAUCGCCCUUUCACGGCGAAGACAGGGAUUCGAAUUCCCUUGGGGCUACCA